UACGGAAGGGGCAAGCGUUGUUCGGAAUCAUUGGGCGUAAAGGGCUCGUAGGCGGUCUGUUGCGUCGGGAGUGAAAACUCAGGGCUUAACCCUGAGCCUGCUUCCGAUACGGGCAGACUAGAGGUAUGCAGGGGAGAACGGAAUUCCUGGUGUAGCGGUGAAAUGCGCAGAUAUCAGGAGGAACACCGGUGGCGAAGGCGGUUCUCUGGGCAUUACCUGACGCUGAGGAGCGAAAGUGUGGGGAGCGAACAGG
rnacentral:rRNA from 1 species